rnacentral:rRNA from 1 species
UACGAAGGGGGCUAGCGUUGCUCGGAAUCACUGGGCGUAAAGCGCACGUAGGCGGGUUGUUAAGUCGGGGGUGAAAUCCUGGAGCUCAACUCCAGAACUGCCUUCGAUACUGGCGACCUUGAGUCCGGGAGAGGUGAGUGGAACUCCGAGUGUAGAGGUGAAAUUCGUAGAUAUUAGGAAGAACACCAGUGGCGAAGGCGGCUCACUGGUCCGGUACUGACGCUGAGGUGCGAAAGCGUGGGGAGCAAACAGG